rnacentral:tRNA from 1 species
AGCACUGUGGUGUAGUGGUUAGCACUCUUGCCUCACAGCAAGAAGGCCCUGGUUCAAAUCCUGUCGGGACCU